AAAAAAAAAAAUUCAUAUUCCUAUUCUAAUUUUUUUUUUUUGUGUCUUCCAACUUUUUCUCAAAUUUUCCUGAAAUCCUCCACAACAUUCGCUUUUGUCACUUUCUAGAUUUCCGGGUCUUGUCUGUUUCGACCAUGAAAGUCUUGAGAGGGGAGUGUCAUGAAAG
rnacentral:ribozyme from 1 species